GAGUUUGAUUCUGGCUCAGAAUCAACGCUGGCGGCGUGCCUCAGACAUGCAAGUCGAACGCGAAAGAGUCCUUCGGGACUCCGGUAGAGUGGCGUCCGGGUGAGUAACACGUGGGUAAUUUACCUUUGGGUGGGGAAUAACUCAGGGAAACUUGAGCUAAUACCGCAUAAUGCAGCGGCAGCUUCGGCUGACAGUUGUUAAAGCGGGGGAAUGAUUUCGGUCAUCCUCGUGCCUGAAGAGAAGCCCGCGGCGGAUUAGGUAGUUGGUGAGGUAAAGGCUCACCAAGCCAGCGAUCCGUAGCCGGCCUGAGAGGGCGGUCGGCCACACUGACACUGACAUACGGGUCAGACUCCUACGGGAGGCAGCAGUCGGGAAUUUUGGGCAAUGGGCGCAAGCCUGACCCAGCAACGCCGCGUGAAGGAUGAAGUUUUUCGGAAUGUAAACUUCACAAGAAUGGGAAGAAGAGAGAAGGGCUAACAUCCCUUUGAUUUGACGGUACCAUUUGUAAGCUCCGGCUAACUCCGUGCCAGCAGCCGCGGUAAUACGGGGGGAGCAAGCGUUGUUCGGAUUUACUGGGCGUAAAGGGCGCGUAGGCGGUUCGCCAAGUCAGUUGUGAAAUCUCCGGGCUUAACUCGGAGCGGCCAACUGAUACUGUCGGACUAGAGUGCGGAAGGGGCAACUGGAAUUCUCGGUGUAGCGGUGAAAAUGCGUAGAUAUCGAGAGGAACACCUGCGGCGAAGGCGGGUUGCUGGGCCGACACUGACACUGAGGCGCGAAAGCCAGGGGAGCGAACGGAAUUAGAUACCCCGGUAGUCCUGGCCUUAAACGAUGAAUGCUUGGUGUCCGAAGUUAAUAGUCUUCGGGUGCCGUCGCUAACGCUAUAAGCAUUCCGCCUGGGGAGUACGGUCGCAAGACUGAAACUCAAAGGAAUUGACGGGGACCCGCACAAGCGGUGGAGCAUGUGGUUUAAUUCGACGCAACGCGAAGAACCUUACCUGGGCUAGAAUGCUCCUGAACGGCGUAGAGAUACGCUUUCUUAGGGAAACCUAAGCAGGAUGCAAGGUGCUGCAUGGCUGUCGUCAGCUCGUGUCGCGAGAUGUUGGGUUAAGUCCCGCAACGAGCGCAACCC
rnacentral:rRNA from 1 species